CACAGUGUUGGCGCUGUGAUACCUUUUGAACAAAACCAAGGAGUUGCUGUCGUGGCUGUCACUUUAACCCCUCCGCUCCCCAACCCCCUUCCCUCGUUUGUGUGGGGGUGGGGGUGGCAGAUGUGAAGAAGGCUUAAGAUUAAGGGAAUCCAUGGGCGCUAGUGACUUUCCGAACUGGAGGGUAUGUGCAGAAGUCUGUUCUGGUUUCAGUGCUCAGCGGUGUGUGCAGAGAAAAGUCUUCUGGUACAUGCGGUGUGAUGCUCUGGGCGAGCACAGCACCUCAGCAGAGCAGUGUUGAGACCUUUGCUUGCCCUCGCCGUGUAACUGAGACUUAUUUGGAUGAUAUAGGUCCGGGAAAACAUAUCUUUAGGAUCUGCCAAGUGGCUUCUGAGACUCCUUGGAGGGAGGUGACAUCAACCUAAAGAUGAUAACAAUAGGAGCAAAGUUUGGCUCAUUUGCAGAAUGGAGCGCCUUGCUUAACCCCGCUCUAAGCUGGAGGUCCUCCUCCUGACCUGGUAUCCUCCUUCUAGGAGGGCAGGAAUCAAGAGCCUGGCAGCAGAUGAGCCCUACAAAUCUUUUGCAGCCCUGCUGUGUCAUUGUAGACCAGCGGAUACCUGCUACUUACUGUGGAAAGAGGAGUUCUUCAGAUCUUGUUGGAAAGAAGAUGAAGAUUUAUGAAGGGGCAUAGAAGGAAUGUACUGCUUUUCUUUUUAUCCUCUGCUUGUUGUUUUUCUCUCGUUUCCUGUACUUCAACCCCGUAUUUCAGUGACAUCAUCCACUCAGGAGAGUUGGGGCGAGGCUGGCUGAGGUUCUCAAGGAGCUGAGUUUUGAGUUCAGGUGCUCGUGUAACCAUGGAAUGAUGCCUCCUGAUCUUUCAGACCUUUGAGACCUCUGGGCGGUCUUAGAAAUCACCUCAAGCCUCCAUCCAGUCCAGGAUACGACUGCCUAGGGGAAUUCCAGGGAAAGGUGGCAGAGAUACCAUGGACCAUAAGGUGAUGAAUACCACAACGAGCUCACUACAGGAUCUCAAAGAUUCCAAGCCACUGGCUGUUCCAAAGCAUAAAGCCACCCUUCAGGAGCAGCGUUGGGAGGCAGGCUGGAGGAGGCCCUGAGUUUUUGCCAGAGGAUGGAUCAGCCCCUUAGGUGUCCCAGGAGCUGCUGAAGCAUAGUGAGGAAGAUGCUGCUGAUACACAGGACAGAAACACAGAAACGGGAACCAACGGGCACUUAAAGUUGACUCGCACCCAGCAUCCCUGCAGACUGAUGUUCUCUGAGCUGUAGUUCUUCAUUGGACUAUUGUUCCUUUGCUGUCACCUGCCUAACACAUAGUGCUGGAUGCUCUUGACUGGUUGGAUUUCUUUUUUCUUUUUCCCCUGUAUUUUUUUUUUUCCUUUCCUUGAUUCUGGGAAUUAUAAAAAAAAAUUUCUUGAAAAAGUAUUAUUCUGUGCUGAAAUUAGCCUUGUUUAUGAACAUGUUUUAUCCCUAGGGAUUUCCUGAAUUGCAAUCCCAGGUUGGGGCUGUGUCGUUUGAUUUGUAUAGGACUGAUCUGUAGGUUAAAAUACAUUUCCUUUCAUUUCAUUCUUUUUUUUUAAAGUUUGGAUCCAGGUAAUGGCCUGAGUCACAUUUGCUUAGCUACUGAAGCGAUCUCAGUGUGGUAUCGCUUAGAGUUGAAACAUAAUCAAACAUACAUUCUACCUGGGGCUCUUGCACACUAUUUGAUAUAUAUGUUACACUACAAAGAAACACAAACCGUGUAGGUUGAAAUUUAAUUCCUCUUUGAUCCUGCAUCUAGAAUGCUAAAGAAAUUGUAAAUAUCAAAAGUGGCUUCAAAUACCCUGAAUGUAAGCUAGUCAAUAGUAAGUGCGUGGUUUCAGAAUAACAUUUUCUAAGACAAAGCAGGAAUUAGAGAUCUUCUGACCUCAUCCACAGUGUUGCUCAGGUCUGCCUGAGGAUCUGUCCAUUUUGGAGUAAAGCACAAGCAUGCUUCUGUGAUUGUGUUUAUGAAAACUGUGGUAUUUCAGAUUUAUGUUUUGUGAUUGUGCCUGCCUUGCAAUAAAACACCUUCAGUUGACUCAGCAAUAA